rnacentral:rRNA from 1 species
UGGGAGCUUGCUCCCUGAAGUCAGCGGCGGACGGGUGAGUAACACGUGGGCAACCUGCCUGUAAGACUGGGAUAACUUCGGGAAACCGGAGCUAAUACCGGAUAAUGCACAGCCUCUCAUGAGGCUAUGCUGAAAGAUGGUUUCGGCUAUCACUUACAGAUGGGCCCGCGGCGCAUUAGCUAGUUGGUGAGGUAACGGCUCACCAAGGCAACGAUGCGUAGCCGACCUGAGAGGGUGAUCGGCCACACUGGGACUGAGACACGGCCCAGACUCCUACGGGAGGCAGCAGUAGGGAAUCUUCCGCAAUGGACGAAAGUCUGACGGAGCAACGCCGCGUGAGUGAUGAAGGUUUUCGGAUCGUAAAACUCUGUUGUCAGGGAAGAACAAGUGCCGGAGUAACUGCCGGCACCUUGACGGUACCUGACCAGAAAGCCACGGCUAACUACGUGCCAGCAGCCGCGGUAAUACGUAGGUGGCAAGCGUUGUCCGGAAUUAUUGGGCGUAAAGCGCGCGCAGGCGGUCUCUUAAGUCUGAUGUGAAAGCCCACGGCUCAACCGUGGAGGGUCAUUGGAAACUGGGGGACUUGAGUGCAGAAGAGGAAAGUGGAAUUCCACGUGUAGCGGUGAAAUGCGUAGAGAUGUGGAGGAACACCAGUGGCGAAGGCGACUUUCUGGUCUGUAACUGACGCUGAGGCGCGAAAGCGUGGGGAGCAAACAGGAUUAGAUACCCUGGUAGUCCACGCCGUAAACGAUGAGUGCUAAGUGUUAGAGGGUUUCCGCCCUUUAGUGCUGCAGCAAACGCAUUAAGCACUCCGCCUGGGGAGUACGGCCGCAAGGCUGAAACUCAAAGGAAUUGACGGGGGCCCGCACAAGC